ACUUUUUCAAAGUAACUAUACCAUCACUGGUCACCAGCACCGCCCCACCCAUACACCGUCCGGACCAAUCAAGAGCUCAGCGCAGAGCUCUUAAAACCAGAGGAAAACAGCAAAACAAGAGUAAUCGGCCCUUAAACCAGGCAUUUAAAUGGCUUUUUAAAAGGUAAAUAAGAGCAUUUGUUUUUCUGGGAUUAAAAGCGUGACUUCAGCUGUAACUGGAAAUAUCUGCGCCGCAAAGCUGUGUUGGACUGAGGUGCACAGCUUUCCACACGUGCUCAUGUUUACAAGCACGUGCCCAAACAUGUGGAUGGAGGCCAUAUGGUUACCUCGUGUUCACUCCUGCCCCUCCCCCUCACGCUUCUCAGGCAGCAGCAGCCUGUCACUCACACAGACACAGUGACAGUGCUGUGUAUCUACUUCUUGUGUCAAGAAUCAAAACAUUACCACAUGACGUGUUUGAUUUAAUCACCCAUCCUGCGAUGUGACCAUUCUCGCACAUUGCGAUGACGAUGCUUAAACGAUAUAUCGUGCAGCCCCACUCAAUACGAUACCUGCCUAAAUAUCUCAAAAACUAAACAGACUAAUCUGAAAUGACUGGAAUAGUAGAAGAUGAACUAAAUCACAAUGCAGUUUUCUUCUGUGUUUAGUAGAGUUCCUUUGGAGCCAUACUACCGAGAGUAUGUGUGUUGGGUAUAUGUCUGCCCACGACAGCAAAGCCAAGACUCAUAUAUCCAGACUGCCCCCUGGUGCUGUGGCGGGACAAUCACUGGCGAUUGAAGGUGGAGUGUGUCGGCUAGGAGUCGCGAAUGAAUGAAUAAAUGAGUGAAUAAAUGAAUGAAUGCACAUGAAUUCUUGUUUUUCAGCAGCAAUAUGCUAAUAGUAAAUACAUUAUAAGCAGUGUCUAAGACAUGAGGUUUUUAUGUUGAUGGUUCUUUUUUUAAUUUUCUGUAUUAUAUACGUUUAUCCUUUGAAACUAUUAAAAGCUUAAAGCCAUGUUUCAUUAAAACCUUAAACCAUUAAAGAAUGGUUAAGUUAAGUAAAGCUA
rnacentral:lncRNA from 1 species